GCAGAGUUCUGUGUUUUUGUGCUGUAAGUGCCGACAUAGUGGGUUGCAAAGAUCAUAAACUUUCUGAAGUUGCUACUUAUAGGCACAAAAAAAGUGUUUGGUGUACAACCUUGACCAGAGGCGUAACUAGAAACCACAGGGCCCCAGGGUGAAAAUUGCCCUAUACGUCCCUGCACGCAGACAUACAGAUACAUAUGCAGACACACACAUACAUAC